rnacentral:lncRNA from 1 species
AUUUAUUGAAAACAAAAACUAGGUUGUACUCCUAAAAGCCAUGUUAUUAUAAGGAGAGAUAUACAAAGGUUGCAUCAAGUUUAUGGUUGAAGGCUUAUACACAUAGACAUUUAGAAAGAGAUGGACAAAGAGAAGGUUGAGGAAGAAUUUAUCUUCCUUUCAAUGCUUGUAAUGAAGUGUAGUGCAAUCUCCACCAUGCUUAAGCAUUGUGCUUAUCAUGGAAGAAGAAAAAUGAGCAUCUUGUGGCGACCGUGAUCAUUAUACUCCAUGUGGCAUUUUUAUUCUUGUCCAGCAAGUCCUCGCCCAUGCUAAGCAUUUGUACUAACAUUAGAAGAAGAAGAUGUUAUAUCUUGUGAUCCUUAAAAUCAUGAUGCUCUGCAUCUGCAGUUUGUCUUGAUGGUUUUUUACCCUUGUCGUCUUUAUUGUCCUUCGAUUUCUUCUCUUUGUUUUUCUUUCAUGAGAGCGCUUUACCAUGCCCGCAAAACAAUUCAAA